rnacentral:rRNA from 1 species
CCUACGGGUGGCAGCAGUGAGGAAUCUUGGUCAAUGGGCGAGAGCCUGAACCAGCCAAGUCGCGUGCAGGAUGAAGGAUCUAUGGUUUGUAAACUUCUUUUAUAUGGGAAUAAAGUGAGGAACGUUUUCCUUUUUGUAUGUACCAUAUGAAUAAGCAUCGGCUAACUCCGUGCCAGCAGCCGCGGUAAUACGGAAGGCCCGAGCGUUAUCCGUGUUCAUUGUGCUUAAAGGGAGCGUAGGGGGGCGUUCAAGUCAGCGGUAAAAUCGCGCGGCAAAACCGCGUCCCGCAGUUGAAACUGGAAGCCUUGAGUUCACAACAGGCAGGCGGAAGUCGUGGUGUAGCGGUGAAAUGCAUAGAUAUCACGAGGAACACCGAUUGCGAAGGCAGCCUGCCGGGGUGCGACUGACGCUGAGGCUCGAAGGUGCGGGUAUCAAACAGGAGUAGAUACCCGUGUAGUC